UGCGCAGGUGGGCUUGUAAGUCAGUGGUGAAAUACUGCCGCUUAACGGUAGAACUGCCAUUGAUACUGCGAGUCUUGAGUAUGGUUGAGGUAGGCGGAAUGUGUUGUGUAGCGGUGAAAUGCAUAGACAUGACACAGAACGCCGAUUGCGAAGGCAGCUUACUAAGCCAUUACUGACGCUGAGGCACGAAAGCGUGGGGAGCGAACAGGAUUAGAUACCCUGGUAGUCC
rnacentral:rRNA from 1 species